CUGAAGUGAUGCUGAUAUACAGGCAGUCUCUACCACCAGCAGCCAAUCGUCUACAUCGAUCUGCAAAGGCGAAGCGAUGUUGUUAAGGAACGUGGCCGGUUACUACUGUUCUGUGGCGCUGGCAGACGAGUGCAGUAUGUGCGGCUAAUACCGACUCGAUUAUCGCAUUUCGUCCAACCGCGAAUGAGGCGUAACGGCUCGCAUGUGGGGUAACUGGCAUUAUCCAAUGCAAGGGUCUUGAACCAGCACGCCGCGUGAGUGUCCGUAGAGCAGUAAGAGGACUGAGGGAUCCCCAGAGGCACUGCUACACCAUCGUUGAUGCCAUAUUGUCGAUUAAUGGCACCGAAUCACUGUGACAGGUCGACAAACGACAGUUAGACGGUCAACAGAUUUUGCGGGUGCGGAGAACCCACAAACGGACAGUUGCAGAGCUGCAUUGCGGGUGCUGAUGAUUUGUCCCAUCAUUUGAAGAGCCUGUAUAAACAGUUCAUUGGCAUUCGUAAUAGAGCACCCGCAACGUCGUGACUCCGUGCACUAGCUGUGCUCUUGGGUAGCGGUGAUGCGCAGGUGCGUCCACCGCAAUGAUGUGGCGAGUUAGAGCCGUUGGGGAUCGUCAGACGCGUAGCGACUUGAGGUGCAUGCAGAAUUAUGGACAGCAGGAGAAAAGUAGAUGCGGCCGCUUUUCAGGAAAACGAACAAAGAAAAUGCCGAAGGCUUCAAGGUGGUGGACAUCAACCUGGCUUGACACAUUUGCGGACGUCCGCCGUUAGGCAACAUACUUUCGGACAAUUUCUUUGCUCUGAAGUGGAUGCAGACAACCGUUCCCGUGAUUCAGAAGCUGCUCUAGUUGUUGCACGUCUGAGUGUACAGAGUACAGAUGCCGGCGGAUGCAAUUAAAGAGCCAUCGCUCUUCCUGGGCAACGCAGGAACGUGCGCCGUGUGACUGAUACAUGACCCACAGUUUGUGCUUUGACGGCAAACUAGAUGGCACGCAAAUUGCACGUUGCCCUGUGAGAGGCCAUGCCCUUUUAGGUGGCCGACACGAAAUUGGCUCAAUAAACAUAAAUCAGAAAGCUGACUAGUGGCCUGUUCUGUCGAUUAGAACCCAGGUUUGCGGCCCUAAACAGGCUCAAUAUUCUACAUGGAAUGCCGACCAGAUGAUUUAUUUUUAGAUAGUAAGUGGGACCAAGGCGUAGCUCGUUGAAGCAAACGUUGGGUGGGAAUUUUUGCUGGAUAACAAGCCAGGCGGCCUAGCAACGUUCUCACCGCCAGGGCGGCGUUGCAUUGAAAAUGAGUGAACCCCAAC
rnacentral:lncRNA from 1 species